GAUGAACGCUAGCGGCAGGCCUAACACAUGCAAGUCGAGGGGUAGAGGUUGCUUGCAACCUUGAGAUCGGCGCACGGGUGCGUAACGCGUAUGCAAUCUGCCUUGUACUGAGGGAUAGCCCAGAGAAAUUUGGAUUAAUACCUCAUAGUAUCUUUUCCCGGCAUCGGGAGAUUAUUAAAGUUCCAACGGUACAAGAUGAGCAUGCGUCCCAUUAGCUAGUUGGUAUGGUAACGGCAUACCAAGGCAAUGAGUGGUAGGGGUCCUGAGAGGGAGAUCCCCCACACUGGUACUGAGACACGGACCAGACUCCUACGGGAGGCAGCAGUGAGGAAUAUUGGUCAAUGGGCGCAAGCCUGAACCAGCCAUGCCGCGUGCAGGAUGAAGCAUCUAUGGUGUGUAAACUGCUUUUAUACGGGAAGAAACACCGGUUCGUGAACCGGCUUGACGGUACCGUAAGAAUAAGGAUCGGCUAACUCCGUGCCAGCAGCCGCCGUAA
rnacentral:rRNA from 1 species